rnacentral:sRNA from 1 species
GUUUGCACUUGUCGGGGAAGGGUGAGAAUCUUCGAUUAAGGUUCGACUCGAGCGAAGCGAGAGAACGUUGCCAACGGCAACGGCCCGUAGGGUGAGGAGCGAAGCGACGAAUAAUCCUUCCCCCACCACCA